rnacentral:lncRNA from 1 species
GAGAGCCUUGCUUCCCUCGCACCAGUCCUUGCCUUCUUCAGCCCCCCAAUCCUUCUCUGAGGGUUUCUACACCAUGUCCUCUACCCCGGAGGCUGUUCUUGAGGGGAUUUUUUGGGCUUGGAGGAAGGUGAGGAGGAGAACGACGGCCGGUGAGAAUCUCCGUCGUUUUAAAGGGGGCUCAGGGAAGAAUUCCUUCAACAACAAGGGUUUAGUAACGGGGGCUGUCGGUG